GACGAGCGCUGGCGGCGUGCUUAACACAUGCAAGUCGAACGGAAAGGCCCUGCUUUUGUGGGGUGCUCGAGUGGCGAACGGGUGAGUAACACGUGAGUAACCUGCCCUUGACUUUGGGAUAACUUCAGGAAACUGGGGCUAAUACCGGAUAGGAGCUCCUGCUGCAUGGUGGGGGUUGGAAAGUUUCGGCGGUUGGGGAUGGACUCGCGGCUUAUCAGCUUGUUGGUGGGGUAGUGGCUUACCAAGGCUUUGACGGGUAGCCGGCCUGAGAGGGUGACCGGCCACAAUGGGACUGAGGGACGGCGCAGACUCCAACGGGAGGCAACGGGGGGGAAUAUUACACAGUGGGCGGGAGCCUGAUGCGGCGGCGCCGCGUGCGGGAUGACGGCCUUCGGGUUGUGAACCGCUGUCGCCUGUGACGAAGCGGGAGUGACGGUAAUGGGUAAAGAAGCACCGGCUAACUACGUG
rnacentral:rRNA from 1 species